rnacentral:lncRNA from 1 species
GGAAGACGGACCGACUCCCGUGAUUGACAUCUAUCGACCUGUGUGAUUGACAUCUAUGUGCCUCUGAUGGUGACUCCCAUCCCCGAGGGAUUUCUAUUAAUCUCGUCUCCACCCUGUCCUUUGGGGAACUGUGCUCAUGAGUGUGGUGUCUGUGGAAGCCAGAAGAAAGUGUCAGCUCCCUUGGAGUUGGAGAUGCAGGUGGUUGUGACCCACUUGAUGUAGUACUGGAAACUGAACUAAAGUUCAUGAAGAGAAUAGCGCAUAUCCCUAACUGCUGAGCCAUCGCUCCAGCUUAUAGAAACAUUGGCUUUAAAGUGGUACUGGAUUAGAGAACUUGCCUUGCAUUUAUGAAGUCCAAUUUUUAGUAAGACAGGAAAAAUAAAAUAGAUAUUAAUGUGAUUCAAGAA